GACGAACGCUGGCGGCGUGCUUAACACAUGCAAGUCGAACGGAAAGGCCCUGCUUGCAGGGUACUCGAGUGGCGAACGGGUGAGUAACACGUGGGUGAUCUGCCCUGCACUUCGGGAUAAGCCUGGGAAACUGGGUCUAAUACCGGAUAGGAGCCAUUUUUAGUGUGAUGGUUGGAAAGUUUUUUCGGUGUAGGAUGAGCUCGCGGCCUAUCAGCUUGUUGGUGGGGUAAUGGCCUACCAAGGCGGCGACGGGUAGCCGGCCUGGGAGGGUGGACGGCCACCUUGGGCCUGCGAUACGGCCCAGACUCCUACGGGCGGCAGCAGUGGGGAAUAUUGCACAAUGGGCGCACGCCUGAUGCAGCGACGCCGCGUGGGGGAUGACGGCCUUCGGGUUGUAAACUCCUUUCGCUAGGGACGAAGCUUUUUGUGACGGUACCUAGAUAAGAAGCACCGGCUACCUACGU
rnacentral:rRNA from 1 species